UGGGGAAUCUUAGACAAUGGGCGCAAGCCUGAUCUAGCCAUGCCGCGUGUGUGAUGAAGGUCUUAGGAUCGUAAAGCACUUUCGCCAGGGAUGAUAAUGACAGUACCUGGUAAAGAAACCCCGGCUAACUCCGUGCCAGCAGCCGCGGUAAUACGGAGGGGGUUAGCGUUGUUCGGAAUUACUGGGCGUAAAGCGCGCGUAGGCGGAUUGGAAAGUUGGGGGUGAAAUCCCGGGGCUCAACCCCGGAACUGCCUCCAAAACUAUCAGUCUAGAGUUCGAGAGAGGUGAGUGGAAUUCCAAGUGUAGAGGUGAAAUUCGUAGAUAUUUGGAGGAACACCAGUGGCGAAGGCGGCUCACUGGCUCGAUACUGACGCUGAGGUGCGAAAGUGUGGGGAGCAAACAGG
rnacentral:rRNA from 1 species